rnacentral:rRNA from 1 species
GUAACCUGGUUGAUCCUGCCAGUAGUCAUAUGCUUGUCUCAAAGAUUAAGCCAUGCAUGUCUAAGUAUAAACAACUUUAUACUGUAAAACUGCGAACGGCUCAUUAUAUCAGCAAUAAUUUAUUUGAUGGUUUCUUACCCCAUGGAUAACUGUGGUAAUUCUAGAGCUAAUACAUGCGUAAAAUCCCGACUCUU